GAAUAUUGGACAAUGGGCGCAAGCCUGAUCCAGCCAUGCCGCGUGAGUGAUGAAGGCCUUCGGGUCGUAAAGCUCUGUGGGGAGGGACGAAAUCAAUGACGGUCCCUCCUUAGCAAGCACCGGCUAACUCCGUGCCAGCAGCCGCGGUCAUACGGAGGGUGCAAACGUUGCUCGGAAUCAUUGGGCGAAAAGCGCACGUAGGCGGGCGAAUAAGUCGGGUGUGAAAGCCCUCGGCUCAACCGAGGAAGUGCAUUCGAUACUGUUCGUCUCGAGUACGGGAGAGGGUCACGGAAUUCCCGGUGUAGAGGUGAAAUUCGUAGAUAUCGGGAGGAACACCAGUGGCGAAGGCGGUGACCUGGACCGAUACUGACGCUGAGGUGCGAAAGCGUGGGGAGCAAACAGG
rnacentral:rRNA from 1 species